GCCCUCGUUGUCUAAUGGUCAUGACGUCAGACUUCUACUCGCUUGUUUAUGCAGUGUUGCUGGAUCUGGAGGUUGCGGGUUCGAGUCCCGCCGGGGGUA